GCAGUUCAACAUGAUGGACUUUAAGAUGAGACUGCUGCUUUUAACAAUGUGGUGGGCAGGUACUCAUGCCCAGACUUUAACAGAAUCUGAAUCAGUGGUUAAAAGGCCUGGAGAAUCCCACACAUUGACCUGUACAGCCUCUGGAUUGACAAUAAGCAGCAACUAUAUGGCAUGGAUCAGGCAGGCUCCUGGAAAAGGACUGGAGUGGAUUGCCUGGCAUGAUAGUGGCAGUGGUAGCAGGAGAUUCUACUCACAGUCAGUCACAGGCCGCUUCACUAUCUCCAGAGACGACAGCAGGCAGCUGCUGCAGCUGCAGAUGAACAGCCUGAAAACUGAAGAUUCUGCUGUUUAUUACUGUGCUCGAGAUCCACAGUGA